ensembl:snoRNA U3 Small nucleolar RNA U3
AAGACUAUACUUUCAGGGAUCAUUUCUAUAGUUUGUUAUUUAAAGCAUUCUUAUCUUCAAUUUCUAGAUGAAAAAUGUGGUCCAGGGACCACACACAAAGGAAG